CAGUGGCUCUCCCAAACAUUUUGGACCGAGAGACUGCUAGUGACACUUAGCAUUUCUCACAGAGCACGAUGUGGCUGCCGAGCAGGCUAGUAAUUGAAAACACUGCUGAAACCAGGCAGGCUCCCCGGGCCAGCUGCGGGCCACUUUCCGUGCCUUCAGAGCUCAGUGCCGGCAUUGCUGGGACCAGCCGUAGGGGCUGGGGAGGAUGGAGUGUGCUUGCAGGAGGCGACAGGAACAGCUCGGGUGUCUUUUCCAGGAAGUUGGGUGCGCACUCCCCGCUUCUUCUUUCUCUGUGGUCUUUUGGAGUUCAGCUUAAAUCAGAUCUGGAAAACAGCAUCCUGCUGCAGAAGAGCCGACGGUCCUAGAAACAGACUCCUACUAUAAAAAAUCUUACGGGAGCCAGAUGCCCCCGACCCUGACAGAGAUUGAUCAAAUGGCUGGUGGUAUCACCUUUCACUUUGGCACGGGGGGAAGCACGGAAUCAUGGAAAGUUUUCAGGUGGUACUUUCAGAAAGUAUUUAGGCGUUGUUGUUGUUGUUGUGUUUUGUUUAAGUGCUGCAAACAGGAAAUCAGGUCAUUCUACAUCACACAGUGCAAGCACAGAGACAGAAAGGGAGGAGGAAGGUGGGUAGCAAGGAGCAGUCACUCCUGAGGAGCAACCCCUCCUGACUGCAGCACGCUGCAGAUGCGUGCUUUGUCAGAGGCUGGAAAAGUUCAUCGCCAUGGAAGGGAAAUCUAUUAGACGUGCCUCCUGGAGGUGUGAGAGGCUCUGCGACAAGCCUUCCGGGACAGGGGGAAUCUUUGGCCAGAGAACCGCUUUGGAGAAAAGAGACAGAGAUGCUCGGGUGUGCCACCCCCAGCCUUUGCAGAAGCGGUGCGCCAGGCCUUCCCGCGGGGUGUUUCUGCGGCGGCGGCGGAGUCUCGCCCGCCGGUCGGCCUCAGGGACCCCUCCCAGGAAGGUCAUGCUUGCAGCGAUGUGAAGAAAGGGCAGGUUUUGCCAGAGAGACCUCCAAGUGCACAUGCUGGCACACAGGCUAGAAUGUCACCUGCUGAAGUGGUGGGUGGUCAGAAACAACACCAAAGCUCAGAGGAAAUCAAGGACUUGGAAUUUUGCCUCCUGUCCCAGCUGCAUGUAUCCUACCAGUGUGUUUUGGGGAAGCUGGUGAGCCAGCCAAUGCCGUGGACAUAGGAAAAAGGACAUCUCCAGUGCCCUCUUAUGUUCCCUGAAGAUUUUGUCCUGGGUGGCAGUCCCCCCACAGGGAUAUACACAGGCCACCUGGAUGGGCAGGUGAUGUCAAAUAUCCUUGUCCUGCCUAAUUCAGGAGGGCAUGAACUGAAAAAAGAAGUGUUUUCCUCUUGUGUGUUUUCCUGGGAGUAGCAGUGGCACUAGCUCUGCCAGGGAGCUUGCUGUGGCCUCUGAGCUGCUCCAGCCUUUGGCAGGGGUGCUGAUUUCCUGUUGAUUCCCAGCCAGAGCCACCUCUGAAAUGGUGGUAUGGGUCAGGCUGAGACGGGUCCAAGGAACCCAGGGAGAGUGGAGGGCUCUUUGUCACCCACCUGCUCGUGGGACAGCCUCCUUGGCCACUGCGGGUGGAGGCCACCUCCUCUGCUGUCACAAAAGGCUCCUGCUGUGGUAUCUGUCCACUGGGUAAUGCUCCUCCAGGGAAAAAGAGAGACCCACUCUUGUCUUUCCAUGAGCUAGGAGAGGACUGUGCUGCUGAGGCAGGAGCCAGUAAGAAAAGUGGCUACUUCUCCUUCCCCUUUAUUUUUUAUGGAUUUAUUUUUUUACUUUGCUGCAUUUAUUUUCACUUUGUUCUUUUUUUUUAUUCACUUGGCUCAGCUCCAUCAUUUUUACUUGUCUCCCCUGUGUGCUCUUCAGACUGACAGUCCCUUUCACCCUGCUCUCUGCACCUCCCUCCCUGCCUGAUGGGAAGGUUGUUCCUCGGUUGCUGGAGUUCAUUCCUGUGUGCAGAACGCUGUUCAGUAGAGGAAGCUGGGGGAGGGCCAUCCUGCUGCCCCAGCUGGGUGAGUGCCUGUGCCAGGCUGCUCCUACCAUGAGUGACUCAGGUGUCCCUCACUUCUGCUCCCACACACUCGCUGACCUUUUCCUGCCAGUUCUGAGAUGGGGCCACAGGCCACCUCUCAUGCAGCCUGUUCCUCUUGAAAGAUACGAUAGAAUUCCUUUAUCUCCCAAUGCCAGGCAAGGCUGGGAUGCUCAGAGGUGCAGAUAACAUUGCUGCUGUGUGUACCAGGGUCUGGGCAAGGGAGCAGGAAGACUCUCUUCUCCCUUUGCACUCAGCAGGACAGCCUGAUCAUAUCCCUGCCCUUGCUUUUAUUUCUGGGGGAUCCAGUUUCUCUUUUCAACGCGUUAGCAAAUCGCAGCACAGCCCUGCUGGGUCCUGCUGACCGCCUGGCUCUGCAAAGUCCUUGAGGAAGGGGCAGCAGCCAAAGCCAGCUGGCAGGGGUGACUGGCUACAGCUCCACCAGGAGCUGCAGGACUCUGGAGCAGGGGUGGCCUGGGAGGAUGGGUGGGUUCGGGCUGUGGUGCAAAAGCUGGUGGAGAAGCCAGGAGGUGCACAAAAAAGCAGUUCAUGGCCUGGCAAAGGAGAUAAGGAGAAACUUGAUCCCUGCCUAAACAACCAGGGUUCUAGUUCUUUCAGGUCUGCCCCUCCAGGGGCACAGUGCAAAUGUAAAUGUCCAGGUAUUUAUGUGCUCUGGUAUAAAUUCAAAACUACUUUUGGAACAAUUAGAGAAGAAUGACUAAAACUGUAGUCACCAUUAGCACAGAAUACCUGUGAUCCUCCCAUCUAAUACCACAAUGCAUUUUCCUGUGAUAUUUUACAGUGACAACAUAAAGCCUGGCAUCUUUCAGUUCUAUGAUUGAAAGAUGUUUACAACAACACAAAUAUGUGGGAAUUCAGUAUUUUCCAUAUUAUCGGAUUAAAAGCCUGUCUCUCAACCUACUUAGUGCUCCACCUAAGGCUUUUCCUGCACCUGUCUUCACAAGCAUCGGAGCUUUCGUGUUUCGUCUCUUUUUGUGGCCAGAUGAAGUCAUCUUGGAGCAUGGGUGCGGUGGUGAAAGACACACAGAGUGAAUUUACAUCUCUUGGAUAAAGGAGAAACCGAAGAAAGAUUUCCCCUGUGAGCUGGUUUUUAUCGUCAGUGUGAACAUCUUAGUCAGCACAAGCUCAGACUUCUAAAAUUGUGCAGCCGUGUGCUGUGAGAGCUACAGCCUCUGCAGCUUCCUGCUUCCCUGGAUCAGCCAAGGAUAAAGGCUCCAGGAUCUGGUGCUCCUCUGGCAGGAAUGGCUGAGCCCAGGCCAGGUGAGCGGCAGGCUCUGAAACUUUGUGUGUGACCCUGCUCCUCUGGAAUGUGGGAAAACACCCUUCCAUUUGAUUCCAACAAAUCACCUCAAGCCAGAUCCUGUAGCAUGUUGAGCAUCAGUGGAUAUAGAACUAGAGAACAGAAUUAGCUGGGAGAAUCCUAAUGUUUUGUGAAAUCAUUUCCAUGACACAGACGUGAUACCAGAGUGGGAUGCUGCAUGUUUAAGUACUCAAGUCUCCAGGAAGCAAGAAUAUGCAGAUACUCUGACU